rnacentral:rRNA from 1 species
CCUACGGGUGGCAGCAGUGGGGAAUAUUGGGCAAUGGAGGAAACUCUGACCCAGCAACGCCGCGUGAAUGAUGAAGGUCUUCGGAUUGUAAAGUUCUUUUCUAAGGGAAGAAGAAAGUGACGGUACCUUAGGAAUAAGCCUCGGCUAACUACGUGACAGCAGCCGCGGUAAUACGUAGGAGGCAAGCGUUAUCCGGAAGGACUGGGCGUAAAGGGUGCGUAGGUGGGUUGACAAGUUGGUAGCGAAACUCCGGGGCUCAACCUCGGCACUGCUGCCAAAACUGGUGGACUUGAGUGCAGGAGAGGCAAGUGGAAUUCCUGGUGUAGCGGUGGAAUGCGUAGAUAUUAGGAGGAACACCAGUGGCGAAGGCGAUUUGCUGGACUGUAACUGACGCUGAGGCACGAAAGCGUGGGGAGCAAACAGGAUUAGAUACCCCUGUAGUC